GCAUGGCUAAAACAUGCAAGUCGAACGCGAAAGUCCUUCGGGGCGAGUAGAGUGGCGAAAGGGCGAGGAAUACAUUCCUACGUACCCCAAGGUCGGGGAUAGCCCGGGGAAACCCGGUGUAAUACCCGAUGUGGUCUCCGGAUCAAAGAUUUAUCGCCCGGGGAGCGGGGAACGUGCUAUCAGCUUGUUGGUGAGGUAACGGCCCACCAAGGCUAAGACGGCUAGCGGGUGUGAGAGCACGACCCGCCGCAUCGGGACUGAGACACUGCCCGGACUCCUACGGGAGGCUGCAGUAACGAAUCUUCCGCAAUGGGCGAAAGCCUGACGGAGCAAUGCCGCGUGCAGGAUGAAGGCCUUCGGGGUGUAAACUGCUGUCAGGGUAUAGGAAGAUCUGACCAGACCCAAAGGAAGGGCCGGCUAACUUCGUGCCAGCAGCCGCGGUAAUACGAAGGGCCCGAGCGUUAAUCGGAAUCACUGGGCUUAAAGCGUACGUAGGCGGACAUGUAGGUACUUUGUGAAAUCCCACCGCUCAACGGUGGAACUGCUGGGUAUACCGCAUGUCUUGAGACAGGUAGGGGUCGUCGGAACGAUAGGUGGAGUGGUGAAAUGCGUUGAUAUCUAUCGGAACGCCGAAGGAGAAGUCAGGCGACUGGGCCUGUUCUGACGCUGAGGUACGAAAGCGUGGGUAGCGAACGGGAUUAGAUCCCCCGGUAGUCCACGCCGUAAACGAUGUGCACUAGGUUGGGGACGUACUGACACGUUUCCUGGCCGAAGCGAAAGUGUUAAGUGCACCGCCUGGGGAGUACGGUCGCAAGGCUAAAACUCAAAGGAAUUGACGGGGGCUCACACAAGCGGUGGAGCAUGUGGCUUAAUUCGAAUCAACGCGAAGAACCUUAUCCUGGGUUUGACAUGUAUGGAUUAACCCCUGGAAACAGGGGCCACACCCUUGGGUGGAACAUACACAGGUGCUGCAUGGCUGUCGUCAGCUCGUGCUGUGAAGUGUCGGGUUAAGUCCCUUAACGAGCGCAACCCCUAUCGUUAGUUACUAACAUAACACGUUAUGGUGAGGACUCUAACGAGACUGCCGGUGUCAAACCGGAGUAAGGUGGGGAUGACGUCAAGUCCUCAUGGCCCUUACGACCAGGGCUGCAAACGUGCUACAAUGGUAUGGACAGAGCGACGCAAGACCGCGAGGUGGAGCAAAUCGCACAAACCAUGCCCCAGUUCGGAUAGCAGGCUGAAAUUCGCCUGCUUGAAGCCGGAAUCGCUAGUAAUCGCGUAUCAGCAUGCCGCGGUGAUACGUUCCUGAGCAUUGUACACACCGCCCGUCAAGUCAUGGAAGCUGGCAGCGCCCGAAGUCGCCUCGAAUCAGGGGUGCCCACGGCGAGGCUGGU
rnacentral:rRNA from 1 species